UUUUCGUACGGCCGUUUAUUGGCGAUACUCAAUUGUAUCGCCAAAAAAAGGUACCAAAAGUAUUGCCUUUAGAUUUGCAGUGACUGCCUUAUAAAAGCUCUAGAUAAAAACCAAUUGGCAUUGACCUCCUUCCCAACCCGGUUUGUUUGGAUCGUCGAGCGAAUACUUAUUGCCGGAACGCCAAUAGAACCGAAUCUUACACCGCUUGUGGAUUUGUGAGGAUUCCAAAACCUCAAAAAUUGGCUUUUUUUAAACCUGCUGACUUAUAAUGCUGCCAGUGGUUUUCCCGAAACACAAUGCGCUCCAUUGAAUGCUGGGUCGCACAAGGCUCUACGAAGUCGGGUUUGGACAGUUCGGGGUCUCCAAUUUGCUCUAUGCUCAAUUUCACAGUUUUCACUUUUAGGAGAUUCCAUAAUACGAAACUUAAUUACGUUUUUACAUUGGUCUUGCAUGUCCGUGAGAGUGCACGAAAAAGGAAAGUGACUAGUUCGUGGCCUCAAGGUCGAACAAGACGAUACUUUUUAUUGCUUGACUCACAACAAACUUAACGACCGACACCAAUCGUGACAGAAAUUUGACUGCGCAGCGGACACUAGAAUAUAAAGGUUGGGGAGUCACACAUCCGACAUGAAUUUCAACGGUAAAACUUUCGUUGCAGCAGUUUCGAGGAGCUUUCCAAUGGGAACAAUGCGGUUAGCACUUGGAGUCGGAUUCUUGUUGCUAAUGGCAUUUCUGGUAAACGUCGACGCGGGUCAGGAGUCAGAAUGUGUCGGUUCCUCUUCGGUUCUGUGCAAAAGUCCAGCACUUCGUCAGAAAUGCCACAUAGAGCAGCUAUGCAGCUUAAUCAAACAGUGAAAAUGUUCGAAUAAGUGAAAAUAUAAGACUAUCACUUUUAAUAAAUUUCUGACUGAUAUGCAAACCUUUUCAUAAUUCUUUUUUGUUUUCUAUCCAAUUAGCAUAAUUGUCCUGUACUAUUGAUUGCACUUGUAAGUUGAUGUGUGCGCAGAUUUUCUUCGAAUUAUGAUUUUUACAUUUUACAUGUAUUAUUUUGCUAAAGGUGCUUACUUUUUGUUUGACAAAUAAGGAUAAUUAAAGCAAAUGUACUAUCCACGGAAA